rnacentral:rRNA from 1 species
CCUACGGGUGGCAGCAGUGAGGAAUAUUGGUCAAUGGGCGCGAGCCUGAACCAGCCAAGUAGCGUGAAGGAGGAAUGCGCUAAGGGUUGUAGACUUCUUUUAUAAAGGAAUAAAGUGAGGCACGUGUGCAUUUUUGUGGGUACUUGAUGAAUAAGGAUCGGCUAACUCCGUGCCAGCAGCCGCGGGAAUACGGAGGAUACGGGCGUUAUCCGGAUUUAUUGGGUUUAAAGGGAGCGUAGAUGGGGUGUUAAGUCAGGUGUGAAAGUUUGCGGCGCAACCGUAAAAUAGCAAUGGAAACUGGCGGUCUUGAGUACAGUUGAGGCAUGCGGAAUGCGCGGUGUAGCGGUGAAAUGCUUAGAUAUCACGCAGAACUCCGAUUGCGAAGGCAGCUUACUAAGCUGCCACUGACAUUGAUGCUCGAAAGUGUGGGUAUCAAACAGGAGUAGAUACCCCAGUAGUC